rnacentral:rRNA from 1 species
AGUGAACGCUGGCGGUAGGCCUAACACAUGCAAGUCGAACGGCAGCACAGGAGAGCUUGCUCUAUGGGUGGCGAGUGGCGGACGGGUGAGGAAUACAUCGGAAUCUACUCUGUCGUGGGGGAUAACGUAGGGAAACUUACGCUAAUACCGCAUACGACCUACGGGUGAAAGCAGGGGAUCUUCGGACCUUGCGCGAUUGAAUGCGCCGAUGUCGGAUUAGCGAGUUUGGGGGGGAAAGGCCCACCAAGGCGACGAUCCGUAGCUGGUCGGAGAGGAUGAUCAGCCACACUGGAACUGAGACACGGUCCAGACUCCUACGGGAGGCAGCAGUGGGGAAUAUUGGACAAUGGGCGCAAGCCUGAUCCAGCCAUACCGCGUGGGUGAAGAAGGCCUUCGGGUUGUAAAGCCCUUUUGUUGGGAAAGAAAUCCAGCUGGCUAAUACCCGGUUGGGAUGACGGUACCCAAAGAAUAAGCACCGGCUAACUUCGUGCCAGCAGCCGCGGUAA